rnacentral:pre_miRNA from 1 species
GGGGGAACGCGGGAUCUUGCGCUGUGUCCCCCGGCACCUUGGGCUCCGGGCCUGCACUGCUGGAAUCGUGCUCCCGGGGCCACGCAGACCCCU